GAGUAAAAUCUAGUGGAGGUCCGAACUGAUUGUCGUUAAAAAGGCACCGGAUGACUUGUGGAUAGCGGAGAAAUUCCAAUCGAACUCAGAGAUAGCUGGUUCUCCUCGAAAUAGCUUUAGGGCUAGCCUUGAGGGAAUGCAUAUGGGGGUAGAGCACUGAAUGAGGUAGGGGCCUAACCAGGUUACCAAACUCUAUCAAACUCCGAAUACCAUAUGUAAAUACUCAGGAGUCAGACUGCGGGAGCUAAGUUCCGUGGUCAAAAGGAAAACAGUCCAGAUCGUCAAUUAAGGUCCCAAAGAUAUAGCUAAGUGGAAAACGAUGUGAUUUUGCGUAAACAACCAGGAUGUUGGCUCAGAAGCAGCCAUACAUUUAAAGAGUGCGUAACAGCUCACUGGUCGAGUGAAGUUGCGCGGAAAAUUACCGGGGCUAAGCUAUACACCGAAAUUGCGGAUUUACAUUUGAAAGACAAUGUAAGUGGUAGAGGAGCAUUCUGUAGUAGGAAGAAGCAUGACCGUAAGGACAUGUGGACGAAGCAGAAGAGAGAAUGCUGGAAUAAGUAGCGAGAGGAUGGUGAGAAUCCAUCCCGUCGAAAAUCUAAGGUUUCCCAGGGAAGGUUCGUCCGCCUGGGGUAAGUCGGGACCUAAGGAGAGGCCGAAAGGCGUAUCUGAUGGAUAGCAGGUUGAAAUUCCUGCACUACGAAUAUACUUAAAAGAUUCAAGGGACGCAGAAGUGGAAGAUAACCAAGUAAGAGGAAAAGCUUGGCUCGCAAGAGGGAGUGAAAAUUAAAAGUAACGAAGUAUCAAGAAGCACGCUGACGAGAAAAGCUUGAAGAUAUUGUAUAUAAGUACCCGUACCGCAAACCGACACAGGUAGAUGAGGAGAGGAUCCUAAGACGAGCGGGAGAAGCAUUGUUAAGGAACUCGGCAAACUAACCCCGUAACUUCGGAAUAAGGGGUGCUGAUGUAACAGUCAGUCGCAGAGAAAAGGCCCAAGCAACUGUUUAACAAAAACAUAGGUUUCUGCUAAAUCGAAAGAUGAAGUAUAGGAGCUGACGCCUGCCCAGUGCUGGAAGGUUAAGGGAAAGAGUUAGGGUUAAACCGAAGCUUAGAACUGAAGCCCCAGUGAACGGCGGCCGUAACUAUAACGGUCCUAAGGUAGCGAAAUUCCUUGUCAGGUAAGUUCUGACCCGCACGAAAGGCGUAAUGAUUUGGGCGCUGUCUCGACAAUGUCCCCGGCGAAAUUGUAGUACUAGUGAAGAUGCUAGUUACCUGCGAUAAGACAGAAAGACCCCAUGGAGCUUUACUGCAGUUUGAUACUGGGUUUCGAUGAUUUAUGUACAGGAUAGUUGGGAGACUAUGAAAGAGAGGCGUCAGCUUCUCCGGAGUCGUUGUUGGGAUACCAACCUUAAGUUAUUGAAAUUCUAACUUGUAAUCGUAAACCGGUUAGAGGACAAUGUCAGACGGGCAGUUUGACUGGGGCGGUCGCCUCCUAAAGAGUAACGGAGGCGCCCAAAGGUUUCCUCAGCGCGGACAGAAAUCGCGCGAAAGAGUGCAAAGGCAGAAGGAAGCUUAACUGAGAGACAGACAUGUCGACCAGAUACGAAAGUAGGGCUUAGUGAUCCGGUGGUUGUAAAUGGAAAUGCCAUCGCUCAACGGACAAAAGUUACCCUGGGGAUAACAGGCUUAUCUCCCCCAAGAGUUCACAUCGACGGGGAGGUUUGGCACCUCGAUGUCGGCUCAUCGCAUCCUGGAGCGGAAGUACGUUCCAAGGGUUGGGCUGUUCGCCCAUUAAAGCGGUACGCGAGCUGGGUUCAGAACGUCGUGAGACAGUUCGGUCCUUAUCUAUCGCAGGCGUAAGAUAUUUGAAGAGUGCUGUCCUUAGUACGAGAGGACCAGGAUGGACAUACCAAUGGUGUAUCAGUUGUCUCACCAGAGGCACGGCUGAGUAGCUAAGUAUGGAUUGGAUAAACGCUGAAAGCAUCUAAGUGUGAAGCCAACUCUAAGAUAAGAUAUCUCAUAUCGUAAGGUAGUAAGAUUCCAUAAAGACUAUGUGGUUGAUAGGUUGGAGGUGUAAGUGUAGCGAUACAUUGAGCUGACCAAUACUAAUAAAUCGAGGGCUUAACCA
rnacentral:rRNA from 1 species